rnacentral:rRNA from 1 species
CCGGGAAGAGCUCAAAUUUGAAAUCUGGCGUGCUCAGUGUGUCCGAGUUGUAAUCUAUAGAGCCGUUUUCCGUGCCGGACUGUGUCCAAGUCCCUUGGAACAGGGUUUCAAAGAGGGUGAUAAUCCCGUACUUGACACAAUGACCGGUGCUCUGUGAUACGUCUUCUACGAGUCGAGUUGUUUGGGAAUGCAGCUCAAAAUGGGUGGUGAGUUCCAUCUAAAGAUAAAUAUUGGCGAGAGACCGAUAGCGAACAAGUACCGUGAGGGAAAGAUGUAAAGCACUUUGGAAAGAGAGUUAAACAGUACGUGAAAUUGUUAAAAGGGAAGCGAUUGAAGUCAGUCGUGACUGAGAGGCUCAGCCGGUUCUGCCGGUAUAUUCCCCUCAGUCGGGUCAACAUCAGUUUUGUUCGGUGGAUAAGGGAAGUUGGAAGGUGGCACCCUCGGGUGUGUUAUAGGCAGCUGUCGCAUACAUCGGAAGAGACUGAGGAAUGCAGCUCGCCUUUAUGGCCGGGCUUCGCCCACGUUCGAGCUUUGGAUGUUGACAUAAUGGCUUUAAACGACCCG